rfam:Schistosoma mattheei strain Denwood, Zambia genome assembly, scaffold: SMTD_scaffold0000514
AUCCAGCUGAUGAGUCCCAAACAGGUCGAAACGCGCGCCCUGGAU